rnacentral:tRNA from 1 species
GGAGAGGUGCUAGAGUGGCCGAUUAGGGCGGUCUCGAAAACCGUUGUACCGUAAGGUACCGAGGGUUCGAAUCCCUCCCUCUCCGCCA